UUACCCCUGCAGAGUUCGUGAUUGAAACAUAUCCCUUGACCCAACAAGAAAAAUUGGGGGCCUUCACCUGGAUUCGGUGUGCAGGUUCCGCUUGUACGGAAAAGCCUAAAGAGUCUAUAAGGCGCCCACCUUGACCUAAAGGUUCAAGGUCCUUUCAACACGGCUCCCGGCGGGGGUAUU
rnacentral:other from 1 species